GUGUCAGCCGCCGCGGUAAUACGGAGGGUGCAAGCGUUAAUCGGAAUUACUGGGCGUAAAGCGUGCGUAGGCGGUAAGUUAAGUCUGCUGUGAAAUCCCUGGGCUCAACCUGGGAAUGGCGGUGGAUACUGGCUUGCUGGAGUACGGCAGAGGAAGGUGGAAUUCCCGGUGUAGCGGUGAAAUGCGUAGAGAUCGGGAGGAACACCCGUGGCGAAGGCGGCCUUCUGGGCCUGUACUGACGCUGAGGCACGAAAGCGUGGGGAGCAAACAGGAUUAGAUACCCUGGUAGUCCACGCCCUAAACGAUGCGAACUGGAGGUUGGGUGCAACUUGGCACGCAGUCUCGAAGCUAACGCGUUAAGUUCGCCGCCUGGGGAGUACGGUCGCAAGACUGAA
rnacentral:rRNA from 1 species